ACAGGCUGCCCCGCAUGGAGGCAGAGGAAGGUGGGGUGCAGUGGGAAGAGGCUGAGAGACUGCCAGGCUCGGCUACACUGAGGCUGGGGGAGGCCCAGAGAGGGUCUGAAGGGGUACAGGGUUACACAGCUCCAGAUACUCCUUUUGGGGUUCCCGGAUGUGGCUGGGGACUGUGGACCAGCACUGACCCCGGAUGGGGGCAAGUUGGGCCUUGACUCUGAGCCUGGUGCCCCAAGUGCUUCCCAAUUCUGAGUCCCCAAAAUACUCUUCCUGUGAGUCCAAAGGCCUCAGGGCCGCUUCCCUGUCAGUUCUGAGAUGAGCUGUGUCUCCCUGAGGGUGGUUUGGGGUGGGCAGAGGAUAGGAGAAGGCCUGCAGCUGGGGGUCAGGGCCCUGGUUCAGGGAGGAGAGGGGCCACAACCAGGUCUUCCUCACUGUCACCAACUUGGAUAUGCUCUCUGGCUCUCCCUGAAACCUGAACAUCUGGAUUCUACUGUGCCUUAGCUUCUAAAUCUCUUCUCCAUUACCGUCUCAAGAGUGUCAGAGACCUGCAAAAUCGGCGUUUGAACCAUCUCCCACGUUGAAAUCACAAGGCAAGAGCUUCCACGGUCACACAGCGAGUACGGAGCUAGAGCGGGAAGCCUGGUUCGGGACACUAACAUUCUGGACUCUACUCCCAAGACGGUACUGGGGCGUCUGAGAGUUUCUAUGCUGGAGGUGAUAUUUCCCUCUCACAUCACCCGCUUCUCACAGUGGAUUAUCCCCGCACCCCCGCCCCGCAGGGCAGCAAUGAGCCAGUCCACGGGCCACCCCCACUUCUUGUGGCAGGAGGUCUGUCCACUCGGUCCCCAGUUUCCCACAGGAUGUCUAAGGUUCCUUCCGGCUCCUGCCGGCCUCCUCCCACUCACCUUUGGCUUUGCCUUUUCGCCACCGCCCUCGCCUUUGAAUUUUGGACCCCUCUUGAACCUUCUUCGAGCCCGGAGCCCCAGCGGCCAGAGGGAACCUCAUUUCCCUAGCCGACUCCAUCAAUUUUCCACGGUCCGGGGCCCGGGGCCAAUUCCACCAGCCUGGGCCAAUUCCACCCGCCGGGGCCAAUUCCAGCCGCCAGUCACCGCCGCGAGGACCAAUCCUCGCUACGUACCACCGUCGGGCCCCCACACCACCCAAUCUCGGACUUACUUCUCUCUGGGUCCCGCCCUCUGAGCAACGAGGGCCGCCCUUCACAGUCAGGUCCCGCCCCCCACCGCUAGGGCCUGCAACCUGGCCCCGCCCCCUCGCACGCAUUAAAGCGCCCGCGACCAACAAAAAUGCAGCCUUGGAGGCGGCUAAAAGCGUAUUCGGUCAGAACUGGUGGGGAGUCCGACGGGGGUCACCCUAGCAAGGAAGCCCCGAUGUUGUCACAUGUUGGCUGUCAUCCUUGUCUUCCCACUCACCUUCCCACGUAGGGAUCGUCUAGAACGCACCGGGUCUGCCCGCCGAGAGGUGAGGAAACUGAGACCCAGAGAGAGCAAAUGAAAUGCCCAAGUUCACAAAGGGUGGACAUGAGGAAGACCUCUGGAAGAUGAACCUGUCAUUGGAGCCUGGCCCCAAUACUGCCCUUGGUGAAAAAUAUUAAGACACCCUAAAGCAGGGGUCCCCAACCCCCGGGCCACGGACCGCUACUGGUCCGUGGCCUUUUAGGAACCUGGCCAACACGGCAGGAGGUUAGAACUGACCUGGAAGAUAUAUUUUGCAUGGCUCUUCUCAAGAUGACUCCGAAGACAUUCUCCAUCUUGUGAUGAGUCUUCGUUCUAAAGUAGACAUGAGAGUGGCUGGGACCUAAGACUUGGAACCCUUUGCUGCAGAGCUUGCACCUGGACAAAUGUCUCCUCAAGCAACAGAAUACAAAGAAACUAUAAGGGACCAGCAGUAACUGCAUGCAUGCACAGCUGGAGCAGAUAAGCAACAACAAGACCCCAAAAGACCAAAACCUGACUGCCGCUUCUGAGGUGCCAGGAGCAAAAGCAGAGUACAGUGCAAGAUGCCCGCACACAGCACCACCGAGGAGGUGGGCAGACCACCUAAGCCACCCUUCAGGCCUGACCCAUGGUUCUGCCCCUACUCUCACCCCAUUUAAGGGGCCAGCUUGCCCCUACCCCCCACCCCAGGGAGUGAGCAAGGGAACUGGUUACUUGUUCUCACUCCCUUGUGCAAUUCCCAAUAAAGCCUUGCCUGAAUUUCUUGUCUGGCCUCUUAUCAAUUUCCAUUGAUUAUAGAGUCCAAGAGAGUGGAGUUCUUUGGUGGGGCUAAUGGCAGACUCUGAGAGGACUCACGCCAAGGAAUACUUCCCAGAAUUUCUGCUGCCAGUGUCCUUGUCCACACGGUGAGCGACAGCCACCCCUCACCUCUGCAGGAGACCCUCCAAGCUAGCAGCAUACAGUUGUACCCUGCUUCUAAAUUCAUUCUAACAAUUGAUCACUUUUGAUUUGGAGGGCAGACAGCAGAAGCAAGAAGAACUACAAUUCUGCAGGCUGUGGAAGGAGAACCACAUUCACAGAAAGAUAAACACAAUGAAAAGGCAGAGGACUUUGUACCGGAUGAAGGAACAAGAUAAAACCCCAGGAAAACAACUAAAUGAAGUGGAGAUAGGCAGCCUUCCAGAAAAAGAAUUCAGAAUAAUGAUAGUGAUGAUGAUUCAGGACCUCGGAAAAAGAAUGAAGGCAAAGAUCGAGAAGACACAAGAAAUGUUUAACAAAGACCUAGAAGAAUUAAAGAACAAACACCUAGAAGAAUUAAAGAACAAACAGAGAUGAACAAUACAAUAACUGAAAUGAAAAAUACACCAGAAGGAAUCAAUAGCAGAAUAACUGAGGCAGAAAAACGGAUAAGUGACCUGGAAGACAGAAUGGUAGAAUCCACUGCCAUGGAAAAGAAUAAAGAAAAAAGAAUGAAAAGAAAUUAAGACAGCCUAAGACAACAUUAAAUGCAACAAGAUUCGCAUUAUAGGGGUCCCAGAAGGAGAAGAGAGAGAGAAAGGACCCUAGAAAAUAUUUGAAGAGAUUAUAGUCGAAAAAUUCCCUAACAUGGGAA